CUGUGUCGUGGUGGCAGCACGUGGU
rnacentral:piRNA from 1 species